rnacentral:misc_RNA from 1 species
UUGUGGAGGAGGACGCCGAAGGUGGGGCUAAUGACUGGGGUGAAGUCGUAACAAGGUAGCCGUACCGGAAGGUGCGGCUGGAUCACCUCCUAACAGGGAGACAACAAAAUGUUUAAUAUUAUUAUUUUGUCACCUUAGGUCGAUCGGUAUCUCACGUUCUUAAUUUGUUAAGAAUUUCAUUUCCUAAGUUUUUCUAGGUCACACCCAUUAUUUUUCCUGGGCCAUUAGCUCAGGUGGUUAGAGCGCACCCCUGAUAAGGGUGAGGUCCCUGGUUCAAGUCCAGGAUGGCCCAUAUCUCUAUGUUGGGGGUAUAGCUCAGUUGGUAGAGCGCCUGCUUUGCAAGCAGGAUGUCAGCGGUUCGAGUCCGCUUACCUCCACUGAUUACCACCUCUUCCAUAACAGGUAGAAAGGAAAUGUUUUGUGUUGUGAUCAUUAUUCUGAACGAAUCUAGCUUCCUAAUGAAACCAUUAAGAUGCUGGACUCAUUGAAUUAAUUUCAUUGUUUUCAGAGAACCUUGACAACUGCAUAGAUUAUUUUUAAAGACAAUAAGCAUCUUUAUUGAUGCAGAUUUAUUAUUUGUGCGAAUGCAUUAAUAACAAUUCUAUUAAGCUGAUGCUUCAAUUUUGAAGUUAUUGGUCAAGCUACAA